rnacentral:rRNA from 1 species
GACGUAGGGCGCGAGCGUUGUCCGGAUUUAUUGGGCGUAAAGAGCUCGUAGGCGGCUUGUCGCGUCGACUGUGAAAACCCGCGGCUCAACUGCGGGCUUGCAGUCGAUACGGGCAGGCUAGAGUUCGGUAGGGGAGACUUGGAAUUCCUGGUGUGAGCGGUGAAAUGCGCAGAGUAUCAGGAGGAACACCGGUGGCGAAGGCGGGUCUCUGGGCAGUAACUGACGCUGAGGAGCGAAAGCGUGGGGGAGCGAACAGGG